AAAAACCUCGUACGUUUUUCCUAUGUAUGUGUUCAUUUUUAAUACGAGGACGAACCGCUCUGGGGGAGGAGUGAGUCCUCCUCUCGCUCGGAGAGGAUCUGUGCGGAGUACCUGCUCCGGUGCUGUAGGUGGCAGCAGAACAGCAACACAUUUCCUGUGGAGCCCAACAGUCACAACAAGAGGAGGAAGAGGAAAAACGACAGCUCUGGAUCGUCGUCGACUGCCUUGCGUGACAACACAGGGAUCGCGUUCAGGCUUCGGGUUGCUCCACUUUGACGUGCAACAUGUCUGAUUUACUGAGAUACAUCGACUAUGACCACAAAGCCACCUUCCUGAAGAUGCUCAACCAGCAGAGGAUGGAGGGCGAGCACUGUGAUGUGGUGGUGGUGGUGGAGAACAUCGAGUUCAGAGCGCACCGCUGUGUCUUGGCCGCCUGCAGCAACUACUUCAAAAAGCUGUUCAAGAAGCAGAGCGACGAGGACAACUCCAUCGUGGAGCUGGACUUCAUCCGCUCCGACAUCUUCGAGGAGGUGCUCAAUUACAUGUACACAGCGCGGCUCGCGGUGAGGAAGAAGGACAUCAAUAUGAUGAUGUCGUCGGGGCAGAUCCUGGGGAUCAACUUCCUGGAUAACCUGUGCACGCAGAAACGCGAGCUGACCAACAUGAAGACUCGGGAGAACCAGGCUCCGGGCGACCACGGGAUGCGAGCUCAGGACGCCAUCCUGAAGGAGCUGGCCAUGGAGGAGGUGAGGAAGAACAGCUUCUACGAUCAGGGGAUGGACAGCAUGGGGCCCGGCGGCUCCCACGUGUCUCAGCCACACAACUACAACACCAACAUGAGCAAAGACCCUCACAGCCACGGCUGGGGCUCCUCGUCCUCCAGCGACAUGAAGCUGGAGUACCUGCUGUACGGCCACCGCGACCACGGCUCCUGCCAAAGCGCAGGCGCCAAGCCCAUGGACCACAAUGCCAAAAAGGAGCGGCUGCUCACCGCCAACCGCCCCUACGGCUGCGAGCACUGCCCCAAAGCCUUCACCACCGCCGCACACCUCAAGGAGCACCUGAAGAUCCACUCCGGCUUCAAGCCCCACCGCUGCGUCGUGUGCGGCAAGGCCUUCAUCAGGGGCCCCGACCUGAAGCGGCACGAGAGGGUCCACAGCAACGAGCGGCCCUUCGCGUGCCAAAUGUGCGAAAAGGCCUUCAAGCACAAGUCCCACCUGAAAGACCACGAACGGCAGCACCGGGGCGAGCGGCCAUUCAACUGCGGCUCCUGCGACAAAGCCUUCAUCAAAGCGUCGGAUCUGAAGCGCCACUGGAACACCAUGCACAGCGGCAACCCUCGCAGACAGAUGUCCCUGUCUCCCGCCGCCUCCCAGCACGGCCAGGCAGAAGCCGCCGACCAGAGAGACUGGAAAAUGGAGACCGGGCCACACUCGCACAACUCAGGGGACUGUUGAGCCUACACACACUUAUGCACACACACACACACACAAACACACACACACACACACCAAACCACACACACACAUUCAGAGCAGUCACUCAAAAACAUGCACACACACUGACACAACCACAACCCUGUGACAGGCUGAGGGCCUGAGAUCACACGGACAAUGAUCGGAGCGUGGAGGAAGCAGGAUCUGUAUCCUGAAGGUCUAUUUAUACAGCCGAGGUGUCAGCCACGCAGCCACACGAGCCCUGGAAGCACCUGAGAUCAUGGUAUCAGUUCUUUAAAAUGUGAAAGCUUUAGAAAGAUGCAACCAACAGUUCAAUUUAAUUAAAAAAAAAACCUGUGGGUUAGAUAUGGCAAGGAUAUCAAAGUCUUCCUCAGCCACCACAUUGGUUAAGUUGGUCAGAUCGGGUACAUUUGGUUUGUGUGCGGCUCCAAGGUGUGACAAUUUCGGUUUCAUUUGCACCCAAAAGUCUGUAGAGUGUGACGGAACAUCUCAACAUUUUCCUUGGUCGCACUGGUGCACCUUACGUUCAGCUGAUCAGAUGUAAAAUCAUUUUUUCCUGACACUAACUGGAUGCGACAGUUUGAUUGGCUGGGAAUGGGAAAAACAUUUGCACCAAUUACGCAGUUUGUGAAGAAGUUAAUUGUAAUAUUGCGUGCACCAAAAAGAGAAAGUAAGACGCACCAGUGUGAAACAGUCUGGGCCCUUGUUGAGAAGGUCGCUUUAAAAAAGGAAAUUUUCCCACCUUUUUAAGCAACAAACCUUUUGAUAUACAUACAGUGAGACCGUAACGAUCAAUGCAAGACAAAAUGUUUAAAUGUUCUGUAUUCAAAUCGAUUUAAAAUAAAAAAUUCAGAAUUUUAA